rnacentral:tRNA from 1 species
GGGCGCGUGGCCUAGCCUGGAUAGGGCGCUGGCCUUCUAAGCCAGCAGUCGCGGGUUCAAAUCCCGCCGCGUCCG